ACGCUGGCGGCAGGCUUAACACAUGCAAGUCGAACGGUAACAGGGAUUAGCUUGCUAAUCUGCUGACGAGUGGCGGACGGGUGAGUAAUGCUUGGGAAUCUGGCUUAUGGAGGGGGAUAACUACGGGAAACUGUAGCUAAUACCGCGUAAAACCUUCGGAUUAAAGGGUGGGACUUUCGAGCCACCUGCCAUAAGAUGAGCCCAAGUGGGAUUAGGUAGUUGGUUAGGUAAAGGCUGACCAAGCCGACGAUCUCUAGCUGGUCUGAGAGGAUGACCAGCCACACUGGAACUGAGACACGGUCCAGACUCCUACGGGAGGCAGCAGUGGGGAAUAUUGCACAAUGGGGGGAACCCUGAUGCAGCCAUGCCGCGUGAAUGAAGAAGGCCUUCGGGUUGUAAAGUUCUUUCGGUGACGAGGAAGGUUGAUAGGUUAAUAGCCUAUCAAAUUGACGUUAAUCACAGAAGAAGCACCGGCUAACUCCGUGCCAGCAGCCGCGGUAAUACGGGGGGUGCGAGCGUUAAUCGGAAUAACUGGGCGUAAAGGGCACGCAGGCGGUGACUUAAGUGAGAUGUGAAAGCCCCGGGCUUAACCUGGGAAUUGCAUUUCAUACUGGGUCGCUAGAGUACUUUAGGGAGGGGUAGAAUUCCACGUGUAGCGGUGAAAUGCGUAGAGAUGUGGAGGAAUACCGAAGGCGAAGGCAGCCCCUUGGGAAUGUACUGACGCUCAUGUGCGAAAGCGUGGGGAGCAAACAGGAUUAGAUACCCUGGUAGUCCACGCUGUAAACGAUGUCGAUUUGGGGAUUGGGCUUUGAGCUUGGUGCCCGUAGCUAACGUGAUAAAUCGACCGCCUGGGGAGUACGGCCGCAAGGUUAAAACUCAAAUGAAUUGACGGGGGCCCGCACAAGCGGUGGAGCAU
rnacentral:rRNA from 1 species